AUUCAAAACAUCUGGGGCUGCACGGUGGCUCAUGCCUGUAAUCCCAGCAGUUUGGGAGGUCAACAUGGGUGAAUCACUUGAGGUCAGAAGUUUGGGACCAGCCCAGCCAAUGUGGCCCUGAUCAGGAAGUGAAGACAACAUGACUGUGGAGAAGAGAGCCGGGAAGGGAAGAAGCUCAAUAAUGAGUGCAUUCUAGGCCAGCUUCCCCAGUGAGAGCAUCAAGGUUGAUGGAAGAACAUGAGGGGAAGUGGCAUGAGAGCAAGCCCGUGCUCUCCUCUACAGAGACAGAAGCCAGACAUGCCUUUUCCAUGUGCUGAUCUCCAAGUCCCAGCUAGUAGGUCACAUGACAUCACAGUCCUGCUCUUCCUCAAUGAGAUCCUCACAAACGAUUACAUGUAAACGUGAGAGGCACCCAGUUUGGAUUCCAGACCAGAAGAAAUCCAGGAAUGGAUUUAAAAAGGAAAGCUGGUUCCCAUCUCCCUGGAGAAUUUAUCUUUAUUAAAGAUGCAAAGGAUCCAGUGGAGGUCUCUGAGGCCCUGGGAGAUGGUAGAGCCACACCAUGAAGGUGCCUGGGUCCCUGAAUGACUGCAUGGAGCUCACUCUACAUUGGACUGUGACACAAGCAAGAAAGGUAGACACUUAGGAGUGGAAUUGCUGAGUCAUACAGUAAUUCUAUGUUUAACAUUUUGAGGAGCUGCCAAACUGUUUCCAAAAUGGCUGCAACAUUCUAUAUUUCCAUCAGCAAGAAGGGCCCAUGUGGCAAGGAACUAAGGGCAGUCUCUGGCCAAAAGCCCACAAGUAACUGAAUUCUGCCAAUAACCAUGAGUUUGGAAGUGGAUCCUUCCCCAUUCGAGUCUCAGAUGAGUCCCCAGCCCUGGCCAACAUCUUCAUGUGCUGUGAGAGACCAUUAAGCAGAGGACCCAGCUAAGCUCUGCCCAGAUGCUCAAUCCACAGAAAAAGAUACUAAGUGUGUGUUGUUUUAAGCUGCUACAUUUGCAGUGGUUUGAUAUGCAGCAAUAGAUAACUGAUACUGCUGUUAAUUGCUUUCUAUUACAAUCAGCUGGAAUAACUGCCCUUGUGCCUACAAUCAGAGAUGUAUUUUGGGAUCAAUUCCCAGACCUGAGAUUGUUCAGUCUAAGGGUAAGGAUAUUUAAUGUGGAAAAAUAACACUAAAUUGUCCUCCAAAAAUAUUAUCAAGUGACAAUCAUGCAAACAGUAUGAAAGUUCCUACUUCUCUCCAUGUUCUUGCCAAAUGAAGUGUCAUUGAUCAUUGAAAAAAUAUCAGUUUGAGAAAAAUCAGUACUGCAUUGCUUUGAUUGCAUUUUCCUGAUCACUUAUCAGGGUGAGCAUCUUUUUAACGAAUCCCUUGGCCAUUUAUUUUCCUCUUUCUUUUGAGACUUCUCUCUUGAUAUUUUUAGCUUUUAUCCUAUUUUAAUUGGAUUUCAAUUGGAUUGAACAACUAGAAUGAUAGAAUGAUAUCUGGGGGGCACACAAUGGCCAUUGGUGAUGCUGCUGUUGAUUACCCAAAGUGCUAUCCCAUUUCUUCCUGUGUAUUUACUACUAUUUCUCUUGCAGUUAAUAAGCAAUUUAUGGGAAGAUUCUUUGAGACCAUUCAAAUAUCCUGCACCUCAUUAAAAUAUCCCCCUGGAUUUAGCAGCCUUUGAUGAUUCUUGCCUGAACAAAACUUUAUUAUGGUAGAUGUAAAAUGAAGAUUUUCAUUUCUAGCACUUCUUCCACAUUUACCAGCUACAUUCAGCCUUCUUGUGGAUAAGACUCUCCCCUUUCUCCCAAAUGUUUAUUGUUUUUAUUAGUAUGGACUCACGAUUUCCUGUUCUUCUCAAUGGCCUAUAAUUUAUUACUAUCUUUAAUUAUAUUAGUGCUCAAAUUUUCCCAGUUUGGCCAGUGGGAUCCCCUCCAAGUUGGCUAUUAUUUCCUUGUGACAUACCCACUUUUUCUUUCUUUCUCUUUCUUUUUCUUUCCUUUUAAAACUCACUUCUUUACUUCCUGCUCCAGCCCUGGAAUCAGCCAUUUCUCUGAAAAACUGUGGUUCUUUCAAGUGGACAAAGGUAUUAGAGACCAAAAUUUGGGCACAAGAUAUGCACUUUAACAAGGACCCACUUUAAGUGCAGUUUAGUGAAUUUGAAUGAAUGCAUGAACUUCUGUAACUACUACCACAAUCAAGAUAUAGAGUUUCUGUCACCUCUCAAAGCCUCCUUUUCUUGCUUGCUCAUAUGCAAUUACCUCUGUCCAAAAUGACCCUUUCCCUUUCCUCUACACACUUGGCAAAGCCAUGAUUGAACAUUUAUUCCUUCUUAGAUUUUGUUCCAUUUUCCUCAGCAAAGGUUCUUUGUUUCCUCUUCUUCAUGCUCACAAAAGAGAGAGUAAAAGUGCUUGCUCAACAGUUCUUCAACUGCUCUAAUAAAGAUUGAUUCUCUUACCA
rnacentral:lncRNA from 1 species